CACGUAGGGCGCAAGCGUUGUCCGGAAUUAUUGGGCGUAAAGCGCACGUAGGCGGUUCGUUAUGUCGGAUGUGAAAGCCCUUGGCUUAACCGAGGAAGUGCAUCCGAAACUGGCGAGCUAGAGUACGAAAGAGGAUCGCGGAAUUCCCGGUGUAGAGGUGAAAUUCGUAGAUAUCGGGAGGAACACCGGUGGCGAAGGCGGCGAUCUGGGUCGAUACUGACGCUGAGGUGCGAAAGCGUGGGGAGCAAACAGG
rnacentral:rRNA from 1 species